rnacentral:rRNA from 1 species
AGUGAACGCUGGCGGUAGGCCUAACACAUGCAAGUCGAACGGCAGCACAGUAAGAGCUUGCUCUUACGGGUGGCGAGUGGCGGACGGGUGAGGAAUACAUCGGAAUCUACUUUUUCGUGGGGGAUAACGUAGGGAAACUUACGCUAAUACCGCAUACGACCUACGGGUGAAAGCAGGGGAUCUUCGGACCUUGCGCGAUUGAAUGAGCCGAUGUCGGGUUAGCUAGUUGGCGGGGUAAAGGCCCACCAAGGCGACGAUCCGUAGCUGGUCUGAGAGGAUGAUCAGCCACACUGGAACUGAGACACGGUUCAGACUCCUACGGGAGGCAGCAGUGGGGAAUAUUGGACAAUGGGCGCAAGCCUGAUCCAGCCAUACCGCGUGGGUGAAGAAGGCCUUCGGGUUGUAAAGCCCUUUUGUUGGGAAAGAAAAGCAGCAGGUUAAUACCCCGCUGUUCUGACGGUACCCAAAGAAUAAGCACCGGCUAACUUCGUG